rnacentral:rRNA from 1 species
AUUGAACGCUGGCGGCAGGCCUAACACAUGCAAGUCGAGCGAGCGGCGGACGGGUGAGUAAUGUAUGGGGACUGCCCGAUAGAGGGGGAUAACUACUGGAAACGGUAGCUAAUACCGCAUACUAUCGGAUAACCCAGAUGGGAUUAGCUAGUAGGUGAGGAAAUGGCUCACCUAGGCGACGAUCCCUAGCUGGUCUGAGAGGAUGAUCAGCCACACUGGGAGUGAGACACGGCCCAGACUCCUACGGAGGCAGAAGUGGGGAAUAUUGCGCAAUGGGCGAAAGCCUGAUGCAGCCAUACCGGGUGUAUGAGGAAGGCCCUAGGGUUGAAAAGUACUUUCAGUCGGAAGGCGUUACCGACAGAAGAAGCACCGGCUAACUCCGUGCCAGCAGCCGCGGAAUAC